ACAAUAAAUCACAAUGCGGGACUAUUCGUCUUGCAAUUGGAUUGAGAACAAUGUACAACUCUUAUCGAUAAGCCAUUGGAGGGCAAGUCUGGUGCCAGCAGCCGCGGUAAUUCCAGCUCCAAUAGCGUAUAUUAACGUUGUUGCAGUUAAAAAGCUCGUAGUUGAAGUGUGGGUGGUGCCUACUUCAUGACUUCGGUUGUGAGGUGGAUCACCACCCCCUUCCAGUAUCCAGUAGUGGGUAUUCAGUUACUUACUACUGUGUGUUGGUCCUUUACUGUGAGAAAAUUAGAGUGUUCAAAGCAGGCGUUUGCUUGAAUAGAUUAGCAUGGAAUAAUAAUUGAAGGCUUUCGUGUUCGAUUUGAUUGGUUUGUUCAUGGAAGCAAGGUUAAAAGGAACAGUUGGGGGUAUUCAUAUUCACUAGUUAGAGGUGAAAUUCUCGGAUUUAUGGAAGAUGAACAA
rnacentral:rRNA from 1 species